AGGUAAUAAAAAGAGAAAAGAUGGCAAGGCUUUGAGAGCAGAUAGCUGUGCAAAAGGCCAAGGAAACAGAACUGAAUAAAACAAUUCACAUAACGGAGGAAAUGAUGCGGGCAAAACAAAUGUUAGCAACUGUCUCAUGAAAUCUCCCCUUACUGGGGUUAGUAUGGCUGAGAUCCUUGCCAACACAAAUCUAGAUCAAGAACAACGACAGUUGUUGGAUGUCAUUCUAUCUUCUGGAGAUUUGGUUUUACAACUUAUCAACGACAUUCUUGACCUCUCUAAGGUGGAGUCAGAUUGCUGAUGCUCUUUUACUACAAUGCAACAAUGACACGUGGCAUAUUGCAAAAGCUUGAGGUGGCAGCAAAAGUUUUUAAUCUCUGGUUUUAGAUGCUACAAUAGGUUUAAAAAAAGUGGUUUGCAUGCUAAUUUUAGAAGGGAACAUGAUAAGAAAGUUUGCUUGUUGGGAUUGACUUCACUUCUUGCACUUCCUGCGGACCAGUUACCCGGAGAAGCAUUGGAACGUGUGUUUAGAGUAACACUUGACCUGCUUGUUGCUUACAAGGAUAAGUUGCAGGAACUGCUCAUUUCAUUGGAUGCUUUUUCUUUUCUUUUUCCUCUUUCCUUUUCUUUCUACUAAUAAACUCAAAUUCGUAACUGAAAAUCAAUGUGCAUCAUGCUUUCCUUAUGAUCACUCUUUUUAGUUUUACCUUUUUAUUCCACUUAUUUUGGGUCUUCCAAGAGGCUCGAUAGUUCAUCCUAGCUCAACUACACAUGCUUUUGACUGAGAUUUAACAAGUAGGGAUAGCCCG